CACGUAGGGUGCGAGCGUUGUCCGGAAUUAUUGGGCGUAAAGGGCUCGUAGGCGGUCUGUUGCGUCGGGAGUGAAAACUCAGGGCUUAACCCUGGGCCUGCUUCCGAUACGGGCAGACUAGAGGUAUGCAGGGGAGAACGGAAUUCCUGGUGUAGCGGUGAAAUGCGCAGAUAUCAGGAGGAACACCGGUGGCGAAGGCGGUUCUCUGGGCAUUACCUGACGCUGAGGAGCGAAAGUGUGGGGAGCGAACAGG
rnacentral:rRNA from 1 species